rnacentral:pre_miRNA from 1 species
AGCUAGUAGAGGAGGCAUAGGUGAUUUUGCUGACAGAAGAUAGAGAGCACAGAUGGUGAAAUGCAUGAACAAGGCAGCAUCUCAAUCCUUUGUGCUCUCUAUGCUUCUGUCAUCACCUUCAUCCCCUUACCUCCCCUAUUUGCU